GAUACCCCACUAUGCUUAGCCAUAAAAUAUAUAUUUACACCUAAAACGCCAGAGAAUUACGAGCACAAGCUUAAAACUCAAAGGACUUGACGGUGUCCCAUCUGCCUAGAGGAGCCUGUUCUAUAAUCGAUACUCCCCGAUUUACCUCACCACUUUUAGCCAAUCAGCCUGUAUACUUCCGUCGUAAGCUUACCAUAUGAAUGCUAGUGAGCAAAAUGAUUAAUAUACCCACACGUCAGGUCAAAGUGCAGCCGACAAAGUGGCAAGAAAUGGGCUACAAUUUCUAACUUUAGAACAUACGAAAAACCACAUGAAAACUGGUCACGAAGGCGGAUUUAGCAGUAAGAGGAAAAUAGAGUGUUCCCCUUAAAAAUGCCCUGGGACUUGUAC
rnacentral:rRNA from 1 species